CAUUGUGGAGCCAGAGCAUAAUGGAGUAAGGGCUCAUGGUACCAGCCAUUUAUGCUUGGGAACGUGUCUCCACUGUUGCGUCCCUUGUGGAAUCUUCCACUGAGUCUCCGGAAGUUAAGACUCGCUCAACCAAAACACGGACUGCUUUUCACAGCCCAACAGGGUGUGUGUGUGUGUGUGUGGGGCGGUUCUGUUAACUAAUUGGAAGUGGUCUAGGUUCUAGAAGGAAGAAUGAGUGAAGAUCCAGGAGCCAUGAAGCACAGCUGAACACGUUGCUUAUGUCAGAUGUUUUGUUCCUGAAGAUGAAAUGCUGAGGACUCCAACCUCUCAAGGGGAGGAAAGUUGUGGAUUCCCGACUUCACCGACCAUCCAGACAAAGCAAGAGGACCACAAAGCAUGGGACAUACUGUAGAUGCUUUGAUGUUAUCUCAGCCUGCCAAGGAAACACCCCAGUUAUCCAAAGAACUUCCCUUAUAAUUUCACAACUUCUGAGACUACAGAAGCCAGUCCUCAGGAAGGAUGUGUCCGGGUCACUUCUACCUUGAUUUUUUGAAGUCUAGUGUUCAUUUAAGCAGGAAUCCCUAGGAGCACCACAUUUCUUCAAGAAGCCAGUGCUAGUGCUUCAACUUCUCAGUGCAGUGGGAAGCUCUGUGAUCACCUUCAAUCAGUCAUUCACACGAGGAGCAGAUGUUGCAAUAAAAAAUUUAAAGAUGAAA